rnacentral:misc_RNA from 1 species
AUGGAGCAGCCCGACUGGGGUAGUACCUCGACCUUACAGAAGAUCACAGCAAAAUAAUACUGUUUUCAAGCGGUAUUGUGUUCCUGUUGGUGAGUAAGGUGACCAGAGCUCCUGGGAGGGAUUGGGGAUUGGGUCGGCAACGCGCUUUCGAUGCUUCUGGUGUUGCAGGCGUCUAUAAGCUACGGUAAUCGCUUACCAUCAGGUGAGCCGUACGCUUGUUUGCCGACCUAGUGACAUAAAA